AAUGUAAGCAACGUUUUACUUCAUACAGAUAUCAACGAAUGUGACGAAAAUCAACCAAGACAUAACUGCGGACGUCACACAAUCUGUGAAAACAGCCCUGGCUCAUUUGCUUGUUCUUGUGUUGAAGGGUAUGAAGGAGAACCAACUGCCAACUGCACAGAUAUCAACGAGUGUGCUGAUGAGCCUUGUGCGGCUACACAGACUUGCUUUAAUCAUCCUGGCAGCCAUAGUUGUGUGUGCAAGCCAGGAUAUUACACUAAUGCUGAUGGAUCAUGCUCUGAUAUUAAUGAGUGUGAAAGUGAAGAUUCAUGUGGUACCAACUCGGAGUGUGAAAACAGUGAACCAGGUUACCAGUGUGUA